GCCGGAAUAUUUGUUGCCGCUGGCUGUGUUUCCACUUUUCUCAGAUGGCAGUGCCCACAAUCCCCCUGUAGUCCUGUAGGUGGACGCGUCCACUUCACAGGUCCACGCACGCAAGCGCAGGCUCUCACAGCUCACAUCUCAAUCAACUGAAAGCUGCCGCUGAGCUCAGACGGAGGCUGACCGGUGGGGGGGGGGGGGCCCUGGUGCGUGUGAUCCCCAGGGUCACCGAGGGCCGCCGUGGCGCCGUGCCCACGCCGGCCAGUUGCUUUUUCUGAGCUCUGUCUGUCUCUUGUGCCCAGAUGGGACAAUCCCUGGCCCAAAGGAUCGGUCUCAAUCGUCAGGGCCUCGGGGGUGCGUCAUGGGCCGGCCGCUAUCAUCUCGUCAAGAUUCGGAAAAAAAAAAAGUAUCAGUGGAGCCAGCAUGCACUGUCCGUCUACCGUCUGUGCAUACAAGCCAGAUUCGUGCCACAUGAACGUCCUCCAAAAAAAAAAGAUCCGAUGAACGCCACUCGCUUGGCUGGCGUAAAACAUGUACCUGCAUCCUGCACCGUCGGGGACAUCCACUGCACGAGGCGCCCAGAACGCGCGUCGUCCAUCCGUCGAUGCACGGUUUCUAGUGUUAGCCCG
rnacentral:lncRNA from 1 species